GCUUGUUUAUCCUUUUCUUUGAAGAUGAAGGAAGACGCCGUGAUCCACAUACCAGACUACCAGAGAGACCGCCGGCGAAGCGACCAGAAUCUGAUCAGGUCCCGACCACGGAGCAGCCGGAGGCAAAGCGUACGAAGCUCGGCGAUCCUCAACCGGAAAAGCUCGCUGGUGAUACUCCAAUGGGUCUGCAGAGCGAUAGCAAAGAGGGAGACCAUCCGACUGGUACUGAUUAUCAUAAAGGCCUUUCGUAUUGUCUGAUCUGUUGUAAGAUGGUCGAUCACAUAAUUUUAGAAUGCCCCGACUGGUCAAAGGGAUCUGGGAUAUAUUGUGUUGUUUGUGAAGGCCCCUGUAAACUCUGUGAUGACGAGCACCACCGCAAAAAUCAUUUUGAAACUAUCAUGUUUUGUGAUAUUUGUGGUGAACAGGCUACACACUGGUCUGAUAACUGCUCCUAUGGUACUGAUUAUCGUACUGCCAGGUCUGCGGACGCUUUCGGUGACUCUGACAUUGGUUGCUUUGUAACGUGGGUGACCUUUCAGAGAUACACACAACUUAUGCCGGUUCAAUCCGCAGUUGCAUGAUCUCCAUUGAUGAUAGUUGUUUCAGAUCUUGAUCUCAGGGCACCAAUUUCUGAUUCUUACUCAGAAAAAAAGGAUGGAAAUUGUGACGCUCACGUUGACUCUUGCACUUUGUUGUGUUAACUUAGACCAAUUUUCUCAAGAUUUCCUAUUUCUAGACCCUUGAUAGAUGUUUUGAUCAUUCUUCAUGGGCAAGGUAUUUACCUUUCGAUGGUGUUUGAUUCGUAUUUGUUUUGAUAUGUUUCGGUGAGUAGUAACGUUUUCAUUU